UACGAACCUUGCUAACGUUAUUCGGAAUUACUGGGCGUAAAGGGCGCGUAGGCGGCGACUCAAGUUAGAUGUGAAAGUCCUGGGCUUAACCUGGGGACUGCAUUUGAUACUGGGUUGCUUGAAUUCGGGAGAGGAUAGCGGAAUUCCCAGUGUAGAGGUGAAAUUCGUAGAUAUUGGGAAGAACACCGGUGGCGAAGGCGGCUAUCUGGACCGACAUUGACGCUGAUGCGCGAAAGCCAGGGGAGCAAACGGG
rnacentral:rRNA from 1 species